AGCGAACGCUGGCGGCAGGCCUAACACAUGCAAGUCGAACGAAGUCUUCGGACUUAGUGGCGGACGGGUGAGUAACACGUGGGAACGUGCCUUUAGGUUCGGAAUAACUCAGGGAAACUUGUGCUAAUACCGAAUGUGCCCUUCGGGGGAAAGAUUUAUCGCCUUUAGAGCGGCCCGCGUCUGAUUAGCUAGUUGGUGAGGUAAAGGCUCACCAAGGCUACGAUCAGUAGCUGGUCCGAGAGGAUGACCAGCCACAUUGGGACUGAGACACGGCCCAAACUCCUACGGGAGGCAGCAGUGGGGAAUCUUGCGCAAUGGGCGAAAGCCUGACGCAGCCAUGCCGCGUGGAUGAUGAAGGUCUUAGGAUUGUAAAAUCCUUUCACCGGUGAAGAUAAUGACUGUAGCCGGAGAAGAAGCCCCGGCUAACUUCGUGCCAGCAGCCGCCGUAACAC
rnacentral:rRNA from 1 species